UACGUAGGGUGCGAGCGUUAAUCGGAACUACUGGGCGUAAAGCGUGCGCAGGCGGUGAUGCAAGACAGAUGUGAAAUCCCCGGGCUUAACCUGGGAACUGCAUUUGUGACUGCAUCGCUGGAGUGCGGCAGAGGGGGAUGGAAUUCCGCGUGUAGCAGUGAAAUGCGUAGAUAUGCGGAGGAACACCGAAGGCGAAGGCAAUCCCCUGGGCCUGCACUGACGCUCAUGCACGAAAGCGUGGGGAGCAAAC
rnacentral:rRNA from 1 species